rnacentral:misc_RNA from 1 species
GCAGAAUUUGGACGAGGACAUUCCUUUUCCAGCAUCCCUAACACCAUGCGCUUGGAUACUUCCAAAUGUGAAGUGUACAUCUUUUUCAUCUUUGAGAAGGUAGUAUAAUUCCAGACGAAUCUCUCCACCAUCUUUUCUAAAGAUUGCCCCUUGGAAGUAAACUAAUGUAUCUCUUUGUCUGAAUGAGGGCGAGCUGUCAGCACCUAUUGUCUGGACCAUAUGUUUGUAAGGAGCAAUCACAUCCUUUUCAAUGUUUGCUAUUUCGGCUCCAUACCUUCCAAAAUCUGCAAGUACAAACAUAGCAGAACCAAGCUUCUCUCUUGCAUCCAACAUACUAUUAGGGUGGUGAGCCAUGAUCAGAUGAUCCUUUCCGCCCCUUUGCUUCCACUCGUCUCUACCUUUUAAAAAUUCCACCAGUUUAUCCUGCAGCAAUCUAUUGAGACUGAUUUUCUUCUUCCCUUGAACCUUAGAAUGCCUGUUGUAACUCAACGACGAAAAGAAGGGCACAAAGAUUACAUCUGCUUCACUCAAAUUUGGCACUCUGACAGCAGUGCAAGGUCUAUUAAUAGUUGGGGUGUUUGAGGAUAGAAGGUCAAGAGUAAGCCAAUAUUCAAUGCUGUGCUGC